UAAUGACUGACUGCUAUUGACAUAAAAGAUCUAGGGUCUUUAAGUAACCGCUCUAUAUAAACUAACUCUUCCGUGGUGCUCCAGGUUAUUAACGAGUUAAUUGUUGCAUGGUUUAAUUCAAUCACGUAAUCAAUCAAACAAAAUAGCUUGUCAUCACAUUAAAGAAGUCAGAGACACGACACAGUGUGUGGAUUGAACAGUUGCUGGGGAGCGACGUUGAGGAGAAUACAAACUAUUUGGACAUGUUUCAUUACAGCAAAGAACAUCUUCAGCGAUGAUGUCAUAGGCCUCCCGUUGCCUCCAGUCUUCACAAAGACGUAUGACAUCUGAGACCACAUGUCUGCUCUACCACAUCACAAAGUACUUCACUUUCUCUAGGAACUCCUGGCCAAGACAAUGGAAAAGUAAUGAGGAUAAGUAGAGGGUUAUUCCAUUACCUGCUCCUUGAAGACACAGGACCUUCAUGCACUGACCAGGAACAUCUUUGUGGCCAAAGUAGUCUGCACCUUGGAUCUUCUCGUCCUAAAAGCGGUAUGGGAACGGCAAU